CUUGAGCUUUAUUUUUAUACUAGCGAAAAAAGGGGAGUCGUUUAUUGGCAAAGGGGGAAGGUGCUAGAAAGCAGGCAGAAUGCAUUCACGUGUCAGUUUUAAUAAGUACUAGCUAUCGUGUUUGGCAAGCCUGGUUUAUAUCCAUCGACAGGGGUUGUGAACUCAUGUUUCCGAUUCUUUUCUGCUACGGAACACCUCCCUUGGUACAACCCAAAAGACCAGUGUUUACUUUUCAUUAAAGAAUGGGGCCUGCUUGAUAUAUCAGCAGGUGAAGAACCAAAGAAGGGUUUAUCUUUAUUCUUCUUAGCAUUGAGAGUCUUC
rnacentral:lncRNA from 12 species